rnacentral:rRNA from 1 species
UACGAAGGGGGCUAGCGUUGCUCGGAAUCACUGGGCGUAAAGCGCACGUAGGCGGAUUGUUAAGUCAGGGGUGAAAUCAUGGAGCUCAACUCCAGAACUGCCUUUGAUACUGGCGAUCUUGAGUCCGGGAGAGGUGAGUGGAACUGCGAGUGUAGAGGUGAAAUUCGUAGAUAUUCGCAAGAACACCAGUGGCGAAGGCGGCUCACUGGCCCGGUACUGACGCUGAGGUGCGAAAGCGUGGGGAGCAAACAGG